UUUCACUCCGGCUGUGCUGACCCCUGCGAAUUUCCUAGAUGUGGAAAUCUCGAUUGCAUAAUGUCUGGUAGUGGGGGACUGCGUUCGCUCUCUCCCCUG
rnacentral:snRNA from 8 species